AGCCAUGCCGCGUGUAUGAAGAAGGCCUUCGGGUUGUAAAGUACUUUCAGCGGGGAGGAAGGCGAUAAGGUUAAUAACCUUGUCGAUUGACGUUACCCGCAGAAGAAGCACCGGCUAACUCCGUGCCAGCAGCCGCGGUAAUACGGAGGGUGCAAGCGUUAAUCGGAAUUACUGGGCGUAAAGCGCACGCAGGCGGUCUGUCAAGUCGGAUGUGAAAUCCCCGGGCUCAACCUGGGAACUGCAUUCGAAACUGGCAGGCUGGAGUCUUGUAGAGGGGGGUAGAAUUCCAGGUGUAGCGGUGAAAUGCGUAGAGAUCUGGAGGAAUACCGGUGGCGAAGGCGGCCCC
rnacentral:rRNA from 1 species